UACAGAGGGUGCGAGUGUUAAUCGGAAUUACUGGGCGUAAAGCGCACGUAGGUGGCGACGUAAGUCGGGUGUGAAAGCCCCGGGCUCAACCUGGGAAUUGCAUUCGAGACUGCAUUGCUGGAGUACGGAAGAGGAAGGCGGAAUUCCCGGUGUAGCGGUGAAAUGCGUAGAUAUCUGGAGGAACACCGGUGGCGAAGGCGGCAUCCUGGACCGACACUGACACUGAGGAGCGAAAGCCAGGGGAGCAAACGGG
rnacentral:rRNA from 1 species